GCAUCACUUACAAGCUCCCAGUUUGGACCCAUGUCAUGCACGAGGACAACAAGCGCCUGUUCCUCAAAUAGUGACCAUGGACUUCCUGAACCUGCCUGUCCAGCAGUCAUCUUCAAAGUUUUGGCUUUCCUAUUCCUAUCCCUUCCACUAAGCAUCCUCAUGAGUUUAUUUGGGUUGGACAUGUUACUCAUCUGGGAAGCAACUGGAGACGGAAUAGAUCCACCAAUAGGGGUGUUAUUCUCAAAAGAAUUUUCAA
rnacentral:misc_RNA from 1 species